rnacentral:precursor_RNA from 1 species
GAGGACCGUAUUCAUGGAAGAGGAUUGAACAGAAGCAGAUGAAUAUAUGGGAGAUGAAGUAGACAGUAUGUUGGAUAAAUCUGGAGUAAAGAACCCAGCAAUUGGUAAGGAUGAGAAUAUAUCGCCUCAAGUAAAAGGAGAUGAAGACAUGGGAGAUGAAAUUGACAGUAUGUUGGCUACAUCUGGAGGUCUUUUCUCCUGAGAACACGGGACUCCAGCAUCUUCGGAUUCUGCUCUUGGAGAUGUGUGCAGCUGAACAGAGCGUUGAGGAAACGUCAGUGAUUUUAUAACUACUUAUCAUGUUGGGAGAUUGUUGUGAUGAUUGCCUGGACUCUCAGAUGUUACACAGGCUGCAUCAUUGGACUGAAAGUGAAUGGCCCAUGUGUUGCCACUGAUGUGAGCCAUUUGCCUGUUGUGCUUCA